UCCAUCCUAAGUCAGCAGCAGAGCGUGCCUGGGGCGUGAGCAGUUGGAGGGACCGACCAGUGGAGUGUGCGUGUCGGAAGGCAGUCUAAAAGAAGGAAAGUGCUCACAUACAAAUUAAGAAGUUCAGCUCUGUCUCAGGAGAUGGG
rnacentral:sRNA from 1 species